GGGAAUCUUGCACAAUGGGGGCAACCCUGAUGCAGCGACGCCGCGUGAGCGAUGAAGCCCUUCGGGGCGUAAAGCUCUUUCGACCGGAACGAUAAUGACGGUACCGGGAGAAGAAGCUGCGGCUAACUACGUGCCAGCCGCCGCGGUAAUACGUAGGCAGCAAGCGUUGUUCGGAGUUACUGGGCGUACAGAGUGCGUAGGCGGUUUUCUAAGUUCGGUGUGAAAUCUCCCGGCUUAACUGGGAGGGUGCGCCGAAGACUGGGAAGCUGGAGUGUGGGAAAGGCAGGCGGAAUUCCUGGUGUAGCGGUGAAAUGCGUAGAUAUCAGGAGGAACACCUGCGGUGUAGACGGCUUGCUAGACCAUAACUGACGCUGAGGCACGAAAGCGUGGGUAGCA
rnacentral:rRNA from 1 species